rnacentral:rRNA from 1 species
ACUGGAGACAGGUGGCUGCAUGGCUGUGUCAGCUCGUGUCGUGAGAUGUUGGGUUAAGUCCCGCAACGAGCGCAACCCUUGCCUCUAGUUGCCAGCAGUUCGGCUGGGCACUCUAAAGGGAACUGCCGGUGUUAAACCGGAGGAAGGUGGGGAUGACGUCAAGUCCUCAUGGCCUUUAUGACCAGGGCUACACACGUACUACAAUGGCCGAUACAAAGGGCAGCGACACUGCGAGGUGAAGCCAAUCCCGUAAAAUCGGUCUCAGUCCGGAUUGGAGUCUGCAACUCGACUCCAUGAAGUUGGAAUCGCUAGUAAUCGUGGAUCAGCAUGCCACGGUGAAUACGUUCCCGGGCCUU